GAGUUUGAUCAUGGCUCAGAACGAACGCUGGCGGCAGGCCUAACACAUGCAAGUCGAGCGCCCUCUUCGGAGGGAGCGGCGGACGGGUUAGUAACGCGUGGGAAUAUGCCCCUGGGUAAGGAACAACAUCUGGAAACGGAUGCUAAUACCUUAUGAUGUCUACGGACCAAAGAUUUAUCGCCCAGGGAUUAGCCCGCGUUGGAUUAGGUAGUUGGAGGGGUAACGGCCCACCAAGCCUACGAUCCAUAGCUGGUUUGAGAGGAUGACCAGCAACACUGGGACUGAGACACGGCCCAGACUCCUACGGGAGGCAGCAGUGGGGAAUCUUAGACAAUGGGGGAAACCCUGAUCUAGCCAUGCCGCGUGAUUGAUGAAGGCCUUAGGGUUGUAAAGAUCUUUCGCUGGGGACGAUAA
rnacentral:rRNA from 1 species